rnacentral:rRNA from 2 species
GGGUUGUGAGGUUAAGCGACUAAGCGUACACGGUGGAUGCCCUGGCAGUCAGAGGCGAUGAAGGGCGUGCUAAUCUGCGAUAAGCGCCGGUAAGGUGAUAUGAACCGUUAUAACCGGCGAUACCCGAAUGGGGAAACCCAGUGUGAUUCGUCACACUAUCAUUACGUGAAUACAUAGCGUAAUGAAGCGAACCGGGGGAACUGAAACAUCUAAGUACCCCGAGGAAAAGAAAUCAACCGAGAUUCCCCCAGUAGCGGCGAGCGAACGGGGAGGAGCCCAGAGCCUGAAUCAGCAUGUGUGUUAGUGGAAGCGUCUGGAAAGGCGCGCGAUACAGGGUGACAGCCCCGUACACAAAAGCGCAUGUGUUGUGAGCUCGAUGAGUAGGGCGGGACACGUGGUAUCCUGUCUGAAUAUGGGGGGACCAUCCUCCAAGGCUAAAUACUCCUGACUGACCGAUAGUGAACCAGUACCGUGAGGGAAAGGCGAAAAGAACCCCGGCGAGGGGAGUGAAAAAGAACCUGAAACCGUGUACGUACAAGCAGUGGGAGCACCCUUUGGGGUGUGACUGCGUACCUUUUGUAUAAUGGGUCAGCGACUUAUAUUCUGUAGCAAGGUUAACCGAAUAGGGGAGCCGGAGGGAAACCGAGUCUUAAUUGGGCGUUAAGUUGCAGGGUAUAGACCCGAAACCCGGUGAUCUAGCCAUGGGCAGGUUGAAGGUUGGGUAACACUAACUGGAGGACCGAACCGACUAAUGUUGAAAAAUUAGCGGAUGACCUGUGGCUGGGGGUGAAAGGCCAAUCAAACCGGGAGAUAGCUGGUUCUCCCCGAAAGCUAUUUAGGUAGCGCCUCGUGAAUUCAUCUCCGGGGGUAGAGCACUGUUUCGGCUAGGGGGCCAUCCCGGCUUACCAACCCGAUGCAAACUGCGAAUACCGGAGAAUGUUAUCACGGGAGACACACGGCGGGUGCUAACGUCCGUCGUGAAGAGGGAAACAACCCAGACCGCCAGCUAAGGUCCCAAAGUCAUAGUUAAGUGGGAAACGAUGUGGGAAGGCCCAGACAGCCAGGAUGUUGGCUUAGAAGCAGCCAUCAUUUAAAGAAAGCGUAAUAGCUCACUGGUCGAGUCGGCCUGCGCGGAAGAUGUAACGGGGCUAAACUAUGCACCGAAGCUGCGGCAGCGACACUAUGUGUUGUUGGGUAGGGGAGCGUUCUGUAAGCCUGUGAAGGUGUGUCGUGAGGCAUGCUGGAGGUAUCAGAAGUGCGAAUGCUGACAUAAGUAACGAUAAAGCGGGUGAAAAGCCCGCUCGCCGGAAGACCAAGGGUUCCUGUCCAACGUUAAUCGGGGCAGGGUGAGUCGACCCCUAAGGCGAGGCCGAAAGGCGUAGUCGAUGGGAAACGGGUUAAUAUUCCCGUACUUGGUGUUACUGCGAAGGGGGGACGGAGAAGGCUAUGUUGGCCGGGCGACGGUUGUCCCGGUUUAAGCGUGUAGGUGUGUGUUCCAGGUAAAUCCGGUUCACUUUAACACUGAGGCGUGAUGACGAGGCACUACGGUGCUGAAGCAACAAAUGCCCUGCUUCCAGGAAAAGCCUCUAAGCAUCAGGUAACAUCAAAUCGUACCCCAAACCGACACAGGUGGUCAGGUAGAGAAUACCAAGGCGCUUGAGAGAACUCGGGUGAAGGAACUAGGCAAAAUGGUGCCGUAACUUCGGGAGAAGGCACGCUGACACGUAGGUGAAGUGAUUUACUCAUGGAGCUGAAGUCAGUCGAAGAUACCAGCUGGCUGCAACUGUUUAUUAAAAACACAGCACUGUGCAAACACGAAAGUGGACGUAUACGGUGUGACGCCUGCCCGGUGCCGGAAGGUUAAUUGAUGGGGUCAGCGCAAGCGAAGCUCCUGAUCGAAGCCCCGGUAAACGGCGGCCGUAACUAUAACGGUCCUAAGGUAGCGAAAUUCCUUGUCGGGUAAGUUCCGACCUGCACGAAUGGCGUAAUGAUGGCCAGGCUGUCUCCACCCGAGACUCAGUGAAAUUGAACUCGCUGUGAAGAUGCAGUGUACCCGCGGCAAGACGGAAAGACCCCGUGAACCUUUACUAUAGCUUGACACUGAACAUUGAGCCUUGAUGUGUAGGAUAGGUGGGAGGCUUUGAAGCGUGGACGCCAGUCUGCGUGGAGCCGACCUUGAAAUACCACCCUUUAAUGUUUGAUGUUCUAACGUGGACCCGUGAUCCGGGUUGCGGACAGUGUCUGGUGGGUAGUUUGACUGGGGCGGUCUCCUCCUAAAGAGUAACGGAGGAGCACGAAGGUUGGCUAAUCCUGGUCGGACAUCAGGAGGUUAGUGCAAUGGCAUAAGCCAGCUUGACUGCGAGCGUGACGGCGCGAGCAGGUGCGAAAGCAGGUCAUAGUGAUCCGGUGGUUCUGAAUGGAAGGGCCAUCGCUCAACGGAUAAAAGGUACUCCGGGGAUAACAGGCUGAUACCGCCCAAGAGUUCAUAUCGACGGCGGUGUUUGGCACCUCGAUGUCGGCUCAUCACAUCCUGGGGCUGAAGUAGGUCCCAAGGGUAUGGCUGUUCGCCAUUUAAAGUGGUACGCGAGCUGGGUUUAGAACGUCGUGAGACAGUUCGGUCCCUAUCUGCCGUGGGCGCUGGAGAACUGAGGGGGGCUGCUCCUAGUACGAGAGGACCGGAGUGGACGCAUCACUGGUGUUCGGGUUGUCAUGCCAAUGGCACUGCCCGGUAGCUAAAUGCGGAAGAGAUAAGUGCUGAAAGCAUCUAAGCACGAAACUUGCCCCGAGAUGAGUUCUCCCUGAGACUUAAAGUCUCCUGAAGGAACGUUGAAGACGACGACGUUGAUAGGCCGGGUGUGUAAGCGCAGCGAUGCGUUGAGCUAACCGGUACUAAUGAACCGUGAGGCUUAACCUUACAACGCCGAAG